UUAUGGCCAUAUCAUGUUCAAACACCAGAUCACAUACAAUCGCCAAAGUUAAGCAACGUUGAGCCUAGUCAGUACCUAGAUGAGUAACUGCUUGGGAAUAAUAGGUGCUGUAAG